rnacentral:rRNA from 1 species
UACGGAGGGGGCUAGCGUUGUUCGGAAUUACUGGGCGUAAAGCGCGCGUAGGCGGCUUUGUAAGUUAGAGGUGAAAGCCUGGAGCUCAACUCCAGAAUUGCCUUUAGACUGCAUCGCUUGAAUCAUGGAGAGGUGAGUGGAAUUCCGAGUGUAGAGGUGAAAUUCGUAGAUAUUCGGAAGAACACCAGUGGCGAAGGCGGCUCACUGGACAUGUAUUGACGCUGAGGUGCGAAAGCGUGGGAGCAAACAGG